AACCUCCUGUGGAACCUGAAUAUGUUAAUGCUAUAGAGCUCAACAGAUUGUCUGAGAACAGAGAGGAGGAGAGACGGAGCAGAUCUCCUGCUGCAGAAAUAUCUACAGUUUACACUUUUUAGCAGCUUUCCUGCAGCAAGUUCUCAGCAGAAAGUAGCUCGUCAAAUAGAAGCGAGACAGAAGGAUCUCAGAUCAUCAUCAUCAUCAUCAUCAUCAUCAUCAUCAGAAUAUGAAAACUAAAGACUUUUUCAUUGACUGCUGCCUUUGAUUGAAUCAGAUUUCUUAAACUGCUCUGUAACUUUAACUACAGCUGUUUUAACCUUUUGGCUCUUUAAUUGUAUCUAAAUGUAUUUUUAUGAUUUGAUGCUUUUGCAUUUUCUCUUGAAGCCUUUUUAUGUUUAUGUAAAUCACUCUGAAUUAUCUUUUUGCUGAAAUGUGACACACAAAUAAACUCUCCUGUCUGAACUUCUGAUAAAGUCUCACUUGAAUGCAGCCACAGAAAGAUUAAAUACACAGAGACACAUGAAGCACAAAGACAUAGAAA